rnacentral:rRNA from 1 species
CACGUGAGUAACCUGCCCCCGACUCUGGGAUAAGCCCGGGAAACUGGGUCUAAUACCGGAUAUUCACCGUCCCUCGCAUGGGGGGUGGUGGAAAGGUCUUUUCCGGUCGGGGAUGGACUCGCGGCCUAUCAGCUUGUUGGUGGGGUAGUGGCCCACCAAGGCGACGACGGGUAGCCGGCCUGAGAGGGUGACCGGCCACACUGGGACUGAGACACGGCCCAGACUCCUACGGGAGGCAGCAGUGGGGAAUAUUGCACAAUGGGCGAAAGCCUGAUGCAGCGACGCCGCGUGAGGGAUGACGGCCUUCGGGUUGUAAACCUCUUUCAGUAGGGAAGAAGCGAAAGUGACGGUACCUGCAGAAGAAGCGCCGGCUAACUACGUGCCAGCAGCCGCGGUAAUACGUAGGGCGCAAGCGUUAUCCGGAAUUAUUGGGCGUAAAGAGCUCGUAGGCGGUUUGUCGCGUCUGCCGUGAAAGUCCGGGGCUCAACUCCGGAUCUGCGGUGGGUACGGGCAGACUUGAGUGCAGUAGGGGAGACUGGAAUUCCUGGUGUAGCGGUGAAAUGCGCAGAUAUCAGGAGGAACACCGAUGGCGAAGGCAGGUCUCUGGGCUGUAACUGACGCUGAGGAGCGAAAGCAUGGGGAGCGAACAGGAUUAGAUACCCUGGUAG